GGUAAGACGAUCGGCACAUGUCCUCGGACAUGGCCCGAUAUGAACCUUCCCGUGCUUUUUAGAACAUAGAUGGCACCAGUCAGGUGACUAUCGAAACGUAAUACGCCGCGAUGACUUCGGUCACGACGGUAUGGCGAGCUUUCGCCGUCCACGUUUCUCUUUCUUCAAGAAGACAAAAAACCGCGUCGACCGGUUCCCCGAAUGGGCCCGUAGCUCAGUUGGUUAGAGCACACGCUUGAUAAGCGUGGGGUCGGAAGUUCAAGUCUUCCCGGGCCCACCAUUUGCAUCAGCAAGUGAAAUUUGCUGUAGCGAAUGAGGGUUAGGGAUGAUGGAAUGUUGGGCGAUGCGGAUUGUUGCCGAACCUUGGGGUCUUGCCCCUGGGUGAUCGAGCUGGAGGGGCUGUAGCUCAGCUGGGAGAGCACCUGCUUUGCAAGCAGGGGGUCAGCGGUUCGAUCCCGCUCAGCUCCACCAAAUCGAUUGGUGUUGAAGCUGACGGCAUUUGUCUUUUGAAGAAAUAAAAGUUUUGCAUCGGCUUAUGGCUGGUGCGUGUUCUGCAUACAUUGUGAAGAGAAGAUUGAUCUGGAGGCUUCCAGGUGUUUUGGGUUCUGCCCAAGGCGUCCGAGCCCAGUUCCUGUGAACCCAUGGAUGGCCUAGCCGGCCGGAUGUGGUGGAGGGAUUGGAGGUAGGAAGGAAGCUUGUCGCUCUGGAUCGUCAGCGUAAACCGCAUAGCGGUUUAUCGCGUGUUGUUCGUUGCCUUCGGGCUUCGUCUGACAGACGAUCGGAUUACCGUUGCCUGACCGCGCGGUAUCGGAUCCAAUCUCGAGAAGCUGGUCUUAAGACAGGCUGCAAGCGAGCUGCUCGGCGUAGCUCCAAUAAAGCAGACCUGUCGAACACGUCGAUGGCAUCAUGAAAUGAUCCGGUUGUAAAAGGUAACCGGAUUUUUGGACUGGCCGCACGGCAAUCGCAAGGUUGCCGGAUGGUCUGAAGUCCAAAUAUGGAUGAGCAUUGGCAAUGAGAACGAUUAAGUGUCGUAAGGGCAUUUGGUGGAUGCCUUGGCAUGCACAGGCGAUGAAGGACGUGAUACGCUGCGAAAAGCCGUGGGGAGCUGCGAA
rnacentral:misc_RNA from 1 species